AAACAGUAUGUGCCACACCUUGCGUGCAGUUGUGUGUGGGUGCCCGUUGAGCAUGUGUGUGCCGCUGACAUGCCUGGCUGGUGAGAGGGGACCCCUGGGCCCCAGCUGCCCCGACAGAACAGGCCUGCCUCUUCCGGUGUGAACAGGGGAGCCUGGUGAACACGCUGCGGGAGGUGGAGCCCACAUCGCACAUGGGGGUGCCCCGGGUGUGGGAGAAGAUCAUGGAGCGCAUCCAGGAGGUGGCGGCUCAGUCUGGUUUCAUCCGGCGCAAGAUGCUGCUGUGGGCCAUGUCGGUGACCUUGGAGCAGAACCUCACCUGCCCUGGCAGCGACCUGAAGCCCUUCACAACCAGACUGGCAGAUUACCUGGUGCUAGCCAAGGUCCGCCAGGCACUGGGAUUUGCCAAGUGUCAGAAGAACUUCUAUGGAGCGGCCCCCAUGACGGCAGAGACACAGCGCUUCUUCCUGGGCCUCAACAUCCGCUUGUAUGCGGGCUACGGCCUCAGUGAGACCUCAGGCCCCCACUUCAUGUCCAGUCCCUACAACUACCGGCUGUACAGCUCAGGCAAGGUGGUGCCCGGCUG
rnacentral:sRNA from 1 species